UGGUAUUGAUUGGUGCUUGCAUCAUGAUUUACAUUUGAGUGAGUGGCGAACUGGUGAGUAACACGUGGGAAACCUGCCCAGAAGCGGGGGAUAACACCUGGAAACAGAUGCUAAUACCGCAUAACAACUUGGACCGCAUGGUCCGAGCUUGAAAGAUGGCUUCGGCUAUCACUUUUGGAUGGUCCCGCGGCGUAUUAGCUAGAUGGUGGGGUAACGGCUCACCAUGGCAAUGAUACGUAGCCGACCUGAGAGGGUAAUCGGCCACAUUGGGACUGAGACACGGCCCAAACUCCUACGGGAGGCAGCAGUAGGGAAUCUUCCACAAUGGACGAAAGUCUGAUGGAGCAACGCCGCGUGAGUGAAGAAGGGUUUCGGCUCGUAAAACUCUGUUGUUAAAGAAGAACAUAUCUGAGAGUAACUGUUCAGGUAUUGACGGUAUUUAACCAGAAAGCCACGGCUAACUACGUGCCAGCAGCCGCGGUAAUACGUAGGUGGCAAGCGUUGUCCGGAUUUAUUGGGCGUAAAGCGAGCGCAGGCGGUUUUUUAAGUCUGAUGUGAAAGCCUUCGGCUCAACCGAAGAAGUGCAUCGGAAACUGGGAAACUUGAGUGCAGAAGAGGACAGUGGAACUCCAUGUGUAGCGGUGAAAUGCGUAGAUAUAUGGAAGAACACCAGUGGCGAAGGCGGCUGUCUGGUCUGUAACUGACGCUGAGGCUCGAAAGUAUGGGUAGCAAACAGGAUUAGAUACCCUGGUAGUCCAUACCGUAAACGAUGAAUGCUAAGUGUUGGAGGGUUUCCGCCCUUCAGUGCUGCAGCUAACGCAUUAAGCAUUCCGCCUGGGGAGUACGGCCGCAAGGCUGAAACUCAAAGGAAUUGACGGGGGCCCGCACAAGCGGUGGAGCAUGUGGUUUAAUUCGAAGCUACGCGAAGAACCUUACCAGGUCUUGACAUACUAUGCAAAUCUAAGAGAUUAGACGUUCCCUUCGGGGACAUGGAUACAGGUGGUGCAUGGUUGUCGUCAGCUCGUGUCGUGAGAUGUUGGGUUAAGUCCCGCAACGAGCGCAACCCUUAUUAUCAGUUGCCAGCAUUAAGUUGGGCACUCUGGUGAGACUGCCGGUGACAAACCGGAGGAAGGUGGGGAUGACGUCAAAUCAUCAUGCCCCUUAUGACCUGGGCUACACACGUGCUACAAUGGAUGGUACAACGAGUUGCGAACUCGCGAGAGUAAGCUAAUCUCUUAAAGCCAUUCUCAGUUCGGAUUGUAGGCUGCAACUCGCCUACAUGAAGUCGGAAUCGCUAGUAAUCGCGGAUCAGCAUGCCGCGGUGAAUACGUUCCCGGGCCUUGUACACACCGCCCGUCACACCAUGAGAGUUUGUAACACCCA
rnacentral:rRNA from 2 species